GCGCCCUGCAGGGCAAAGCUUUGUGAGAUUUCCCUCCCUGGACGACCCCUGCCCCUGGGUGCUUCCUUCAUCCUACGGGAUCCCUCUAGCCCGUGACCUUCCUCCUCUGAUCCCUCCCUUUAUCCCAUCCCUGCCCAGAACUUGCCCUUCCAGGGGCCACGUGGUAACCCAGCAUAAAAGGUCGGGAGAAAAGGACAAGCACGUCCUGCUGCACCCUUUCCUCCCCCCUGGUCCUCAUCAAGUUCCUACCUUGAUGGUAAGGAAGGCGAUGUGGGAGAACUCCUUCACGAAGCCAGCAAUCUGCUCCCCGCUCUCCCCGUAGUCCACCAACCAGGGCCGGCGCUGGACUUCCAUCUGCCCCGCCAGGAAAGACUUAGCGGCCUGCAGCUGCCCCCUUGCCUCUGCUCGCAGCCACUGGCCAGGCCUCAGGGGCCGGGAACGCCUCCAGGUGACCUUGGACAAGUUCCUCUCCCAGAUCAGACCUCUGUUUGCCCUUCUGUAACAAGAUCUGACUAGCUCUUCUCACCUUAAAGGCUCCUUGACUGAUGGAGACCCCUCAGACUCGUCCCACAAAGCAGCAUCAGGGUCCUGAGGCUGCUGAUGGACCCCGCUGUGGCUGCCGCCCACUCACCUGUGCAGUGAGCAGCUUCAGGUACUGGGAACACAUGCUUUGGUAGAGACGUUGGUACUGGAUAUUCACCAGGAAGCUGCAGGGCCACAUGGGCAAGAAGGCCAGGUCCAGGGUGGGGAAGAAAAAGAGACCACAGAUCAGACCUCAUCCCCUACCCGCUCCUGUUCCCAAGCUCCAGCCCAAGAGAGACAGACGGCUGAGAUCCAGCCCCUCCUUGGGCAUGUAACCUCUCUGGGACUCACCUAGAUGAGGGGAGGUGGGGCUGGAAUCCAGAGGACCCCAACUCACCCCCAUUUAGAAACAUACAGGGACACUUUGUUACUGUGGCUGGGGUGCCUCUGGCAUUAAGGCGUAAGGGCUCGUGCCCACCAAUCAGAACAGACCUGACUGGCCCCUGCUGUGGUCACCUUCUUACUUGUAGGUGUCACAGGAGACAGCUGCGGGCAGCUGGGGUGAUACUGAAGUCAGGGAGGGGCAGGAGGUGGGAGUGUCUACUGAAGAUCAGUGUAAGCAACUGACAUUUUAACAACCAGUGUGGCUGUUUAAGAGUUAAGUGGCUGAAUAUCAGUCAAUCCGGGGGUCAGGGACCUUGAACCUCCCUCUUGGAACAAUUCACGGUCACAACCCGAACACCCAUGGUGUCCUCAAUGAGAAACCCUAGGCACAGGAUGCCUGGGGACCUCGCUGAUGCCCACAAGCCCGCCACCUCUCGGGCCACGAGCGCCCACAGAAACCCACUUGC